CUUCUUUUAUUUUGGUCUGAUUCUCUGUAAGUGGAUGGUUACAUUUCAAAUGAGAUUUAUCAUAAAGUACUGUAUAUUUAUUUUUCUUAGUAUUUAUCAAAAUAGAAUCAGAAUAGCGUACAAACUCUGGAGAGUACAGUGAAUGGUUUAGUAUCAGGCUAUCAUUUAUAGUAAGCCAUGUGAACUAGAAAACCUGAAACCUGAAGUGUAGGGAGAUGUUUAGUUAAAUUAGGGCUUCUUAACUUUUUGUAUGUCAUGGACCCCAAUGGUAGUUUGGUGAAAUGUGUGAACCCGCUCUUAGAAUGUUUUUAAAUCGAUAAAUUAAAAUACACAAGAUUAUAAUGGAAAACAAUCAUACUGAAACAAAAUUAUCAAAAUAUUUUAAAAUAAGUUCACAAACCAUAGGUUAAGAUCCCUGACUAGAUAUUGCCAGACUUUUCCUAAGUAUGAGAACUACCAGAGUUGGGAUAUUCUUUGUAUUUAUGUGCCACCUAUUAAAUCCCUAGUUCUGCUGCUCCUUUGCUUAUUCUACUAGGAGAACACUUUUUUGUAAGUUCACAGGAGCACUAGGAUACUAUGUUACAUCCUUUGAUAGUUUGUUCUCUUGAGUAGAUUGCACUGCCCAAAGGAGAGUCCAUCCUGGAUUUGUGUUAUGAAAAUAAAGAAUAUGCUCAAUUUUCCAGCUUCCCAUUGAAAUGAAACUUGGCGCCUUUACCAUGCAUCUGCAUUUCUUGAAAACUUUUAAUAAUCAGUCUGUCAGUUUUUGCCUAACAGCUGUGAUCAGUAAUAGGUACCUAAAAACAUCUAUAAUCAAAAUGGGAACCACAAAAACCAAAUCUGCCUAUGGAAAAAGUCCAAAUCAAAGGGAAAAUGUGACAUCUGAGAACUUCCUCUAAGGAGUCACAAGAAAAAAAAUGAAAUUUUUAUCUUCUGAAAAAAGAGGAUUGUCCCAAAGAAAGCAUGACUUUCAUAUGCAUGGAUCCUAUUCUUCAGUGUAUUUGAUUGUAAUGUACUUGGUUGGAGAUAUUAUGCCCUUCAGCAAAACUUUGGAAAUCUAAAGCACCUAUUAUUCUGGAAAAUUAUCUGGCCCUUAAUCAUCUUUCCAGCAAAGUAACUAAAGGAAGAUUUUGCUUUAUCUGAGCCAGUUGCUUCUCUUCUGUUUGAAAAGAUUCAUGAUGUCAUCAGUGUGGGAAUUUCCUCCAUUAAUAAGAUUAAAUACUUCUAUAUUUCUUGAAUUGCCAUGGUCAAAAAUAAAUUCAUCAUUUGAUGGCACCAACUUCUAAUGAAGAACCCAUACUCCAGAGCUUGCUUUCUACUGGGACAGUCUGAGAGAACUUAGAGUCCCCUUUGACAUCAUGAUUUUGAAAAAAGGACUUUGAUAUAAGGGAACAGCCACAUGAGUCUCAAGUAUUUUUGAUUCACUGGUCCUCUAUCUAUUCCUCAAACUUAAGAUGAGAAAAAUUUUUUUAUGAAACUAAUUUAACAUUACUAUAUUGUUGUGAUUUUGAAUAUAUAUGUUAUAUAUUUGGGAUGAAUAGUUCAAGAAUAUAAAUCCUGAUUAUAGGAAGUUAACAAUUGGUAAUUGGCUUUUAAUAUCAUGAAACUAAAGACUUUGCCAUUGAUGAUGUAUUUAUCUUCCAGAGUUUAUCUUUUGCAUUCUUCAAAAUGUAAUUGUGAAGACGACCAUUCUGCUUAGAAAAUUUUGCCAUUAUUUUCUGAAUAUCAGAUCUGGAUAUUAUUUGUCUCUGCUUGUGACUAUUUUCUCAUGGGGUCAAGAUGGCAUUAUUCCAGAAAAGUCAUUCCCGACUCUGUUAGUUCUGAAAGAAAGACUUUUCAAUAUUCUGAAGGGUGAUUUCCCAAUGACUCAUGGAGUUUAAAGGUUAUGCAUCUUGGGAUAGUCAGACACUGUUUAAAAAGCAAAAUAAAAGGACUGUGUUGGUUAAAUGAAGACAUUUGAAUAUGUUAUCACUCAGAGGAGUCACAUUUGACACAAAGAAACCACAAAGAGAAUUAUAUGAGCUUUUCUUCUUCCUUCCUGUUUAUUUUAGGAUAUAAAAAAUGUUACAUUUUACACAUUUAAUAUCAUUGAGGAUAUUAAGCCAAUGGAAGAAAUCUGGCUACAUGCUGAAGAAAAACAGUAUUUUUAUAGCUAAAAAUUAAAUAUAUGAAAAGAAGAAAAGGCCAGCCAUAUAAAACCCACCAAAACACUUUUCUCCUGACAUAGUAGAUCUUGAAGCUAUCAGAUUUGAAUCAUCUUGGGAACAUGCUCUUUUGUCCUGAAGAAAAAUUGUGUAUGAUAGUUUAUAUGAAGGGACCAUUCUAUUCAGAGAAUGAAAGAUUCAAGCUUCUUGCUUUUCAGAACCAUCAAAUGGCUCAAGGGUGAUUUUUUUUAGCCCAACAGCAGUCCUGGUAUAUUAUGGGUCAAAUAGUGGUCAAAGAUUUCUACCAUUAAACAUCCAAGUGUUCCACAUUUUAAUAAGAUAUUCUUAAUAUAUAGUCAGGGUUUUAUUUGAGCAUCAAUAUUAUCUUUGUUCUAGUCCA